rnacentral:rRNA from 1 species
GAUGAACGCUAGCGGCAGGCUUAACACAUGCAAGUCGAGGGGUAUAGUUCUUCGGAACUAGAGACCGGCGCACGGGUGCGUAACGCGUAUGCAAUCUACCUUUUACAGAGGGAUAGCCCAGAGAAAUUUGGAUUAAUACCUCAUAGUAUGUGAGAAUCGCAUGGUUUUCAUAUUAAAGUUCCAACGGUAAAAGAUGAGCAUGCGUCCCAUUAGCUAGAUGGUAAGGUAACGGCUUACCAUGGCGACGAUGGGUAGGGGUCCUGAGAGGGAGAUCCCCCCACACUGGUACUGAGACACGGACCAGACUCCUACGGGAGGCAGCAGUGAGGAAUAUUGGACAAUGGGCGCAAGCCUGAUCCAGCCAUGCCGCGUGCAGGAUGACGGUCCUAUGGAUUG